rnacentral:rRNA from 1 species
AUUGAACGCUGGCGGCAUGCCUUACACAUGCAAGUCGAACGGCAGCACGGGAGCAAUCCUGGUGGCGAGUGGCGAACGGGUGAGUAAUACAUCGGAACGUGCCCAGUUGUGGGGGAUAGCCCGGCGAAAGCCGGAUUAAUACCGCAUACGACCUACGGGUGAAAGCGGGGGAUCGCAAGACCUCGCGCCAGUGGAUCGGCAUAUGUCGGAGUAGCUAUUUGGUGGGGUAAAAGCCUACCAAGGCUACGAUCCGUAGCUGGUCUGAGAGGACGACCAGCCACACUGGGACUGAGACACGGCCCAGACUCCUACGGGAGGCAGCAGUGGGGAAUUUUGGACAAUGGGCGCAAGCCUGAUCCAGCCAUGCCGCGUGCGGGAAGAAGGCCUUCGGGUUGUAAACCGCUUUUGUCAGGGAAGAAACGGUUUGGGCUAAUACCCCGAACUAAUGACGGUACCUGAAGAAUAAGCACCGGCUAACUACGUGCCAGCCGCCGCCGUAA